UGGCAUGUGGGCAAACCAAGAGAGAGUUCCCACAACCUGCAAAGCUGGCAGCUGGAGUCAAGAAUAAGUUUGUCACCAAUGCAGGUGUAAGACCCUAACCAUUUAUAUCAAGUCUCAUCCGACCAAACACAAGGCUAUGCAACUGUAUGUGAAUCCAUUUACCUUCAACAAUCCUGCUUUCCACAUGAAGUUCACACCAAAAUGAGGCAAAGACAAGGGACCAGGAUGAGUGAUUCCUGCAUCAAAGACUCCAGAGACGUUUCCUCAAACAUUUUUUACAAAUGUUAUCAGACUUCACUUGAUUUGAACUCAGAAAUUCCAAGAGGUUAUAAUUAGUAAGGGUUUUCAGGACAAAGAACCACAUGUUAAACGCUUCUAGUAAAUGGAUUUUGUAGUAUCCAUUCUUUUAAUCAAUGUUCAUGUUGUACUUCAGAUGGCUGUCUGGAUUUUUAAAUUGCUUUCAAGCCAGCUGAUCUUAUUGUCAUGUAUUGCCAAUAUAGCUCAAACUAAAUAAUAAGCAAUUGUGUUUUAUUCUCACUAUUUUGACUCCAUGUGAUAACCAAGGCUGUUGAAUGUUCAUCUCACCGCUUGGGUUUGAGUAUCCUUCCACUGAUAUGGAUGUUUGAUGAUUAGCCUGUAUUUAAGAGAGUCAUUUGUACUGCAUCUGUAACGCAUGCUAAUGAGGCAACUCUUAUCUAGGGUUUAUAAGUAGUAGCUAAAGACAUCAUUCAUUAUUGUCAGUACUGCUGAUAAUAUCAUUAAUGAUAACAGAACAGGUUUUUGGGUUGCCAAGCUCUGAUGAUUAACUAAUGUGUUGGCCCUAUGGAUGCAUGGCCUUGAAAACUAUUACAUGGAUUGAAUGUUUCCCUAAGAAUAGCUUGUAUUGUCUUCCCCAACCUUGCAUUUACUGCUAUCACCAGCUAACUUUUUACAAAACUUGAGUUUAUGACCAAAUACCUAUUCUCAAUAAAACGUUGCCGUAGGCUACUACUGUUUACUUCUGGACCAAAGUUCAUUUAACAACAACAUGUUAACAUUCAAAAGCUUAAUUGAUUAUUGUUUUAUAUUUAUAACUUCAGACUUGAUGACAUACUGAUAAAUAAGAACCAUUAGUAACACAGUGUGUUGACCCUUAUUUUAAAGAGUGCCUUAUUAUUAUUAGAUGGUACCAAUAAGUCUCCCACCUCAGCCCAGAAGAUUAUAUUGCUACACAGUGCAAGCAGUUUAAUGUUUCUGUCAACCACACUUGGGUUUGUUUACUUUUUUAUGACUUGUGUUUGUAUAAAAAUCACAGUAAUGUGUAACAUGAGCACGAACAAAGUCUAUGAAUACGUGUGUAAGAGGAUCUGCACCGUAACAACUAUUCAGUAACCAAAUGCAAUUCUGCAGCUUUGCUUUUCCUACAUGCCACUAACAGUUUAUUAGCAUUGAUUUGCAACAGUGAUAAAGGUUUGUAAGACAAUGGCAAUAUACACUCUGCUUUAACAAUGCCUGUAAUGCCUUUAAAUUGUACCCUGGUGUUCCUGUCAGUCAACAGCACAAUCCUAUCAAAAUCAUUUGUCAGAGGUGGAUUGCUUCAUUCUAAUGUUUGGAAUAAAUGUUUGUUCUUGCUUCAGCAAUAAAAAAAAAGAUCAAUAAA